rnacentral:rRNA from 1 species
UACGGGAGGCAGCAGUGGGGAAUUUUGGACAAUGGGCGAAAGCCUGAUCCAGCAAUGCCGCGUGGAGGAAGAAGGCCUUCGGGUUGUAAACUGCUUUUGUACGGAACGAAACGGUCUGCCCUAAUACGGUGGGCUAAUGACGGUACCGUAAGAAUAAGCACCGACUAACUACGUGCCAGUAGCCGCGGUAAUACGUAGGGUGCAAGCGUUAAUCGGAAUUACUGGGCGUAAAGCGUGCGCAGGCGGUUAUAUAAGACAGAUGUGAAAUCCCCGGGCUCAACCUGGGAACUGCAUUUGUGACUGUAUAGCUAAAGUACGGUAGAGGGGGAUGGAAUUCCGCGUGUAGCAGUGAAAUGCGUAGAUAUGCGGAGGAACACCGAUGGCGAAGGCAAUCCCCUGGACCUGUACUGACGCUCAUGCACGAAAGCGUGGGGAGCAAACAGGAUUAGAUACCCCUGGUAGUCCACGCCCUAAACGAUGUCAACUGGUUGUUGGGUCUUCACUGACUCAGUAACGAAGCUAACGCGUGAAGUUGACCGCCUGGGGAGUACGGCCGCAAGAGUGAAACUCAAAGGAAUUGACGGAAGGG